CACCCACCAAGCUUGGCUUGAUGUUGGACGGAGCGAGGCCGCCCGUCCGAAACUCGUGUGGCGCCGACUGUCGAGCUCCAGCGUAGCAAGCAAACGUUCGCUGGGUGGCUCGACCGCCGGUGGCCGCGACCUCAACCACAUACCA
rnacentral:misc_RNA from 1 species